rnacentral:rRNA from 1 species
AUUGAACGCUGGCGGCAUGCCUUACACAUGCAAGUCGAACGGUAACAGGUUAAGCUGACGAGUGGCGAACGGGUGAGUAAUGUAUCGGAACGUGCCCAGUCGUGGGGGAUAACUGCUCGAAAGAGCAGCUAAUACCGCAUACGACCUGAGGGUGAAAGCGGGGGAUCGCAAGACCUCGCGCGAUUGGAGCGGCCGAUAUCAGAUUAGGUAGUUGGUGAGGUAAAGGCUCACCAAGCCGACGAUCUGUAGCUGGUCUGAGAGGACGACCAGCCACACUGGGACUGAGAACCGGCCCAGACCCCUACGGGGGGCAGGAGUGGGGAAUUUUGGAAAAGGGGCGCAAGCCUGACCCAGCCAUGCCGGGGGGGGGAAGAAGGCCUUGGGGUUGUAAACCGCUUUUGUCAGGGAAAAAAAGGUUUUGGCUAAAACCUGGGACUCAUGGCGGUACCUGAAGAAUAAGCACCGGCUAACUACGU